rnacentral:lncRNA from 1 species
GGCGGGGCGAGGGAGGGUUGCGAGGAAGCGGCGCGGUGGCGCGGCGUGACGCGAGGAAGCGUCAAUCGAGUGCCGCGUCGCCUCCUCGACAGUGUCGCAUCCUCUCGAGUUGCUAGUUUUUAUCCCAAGGAUCAACUUUUCAUCCCUUGGAUUCUCAAAAACAGUUCUCCCGAUCAUCGUUAAAAUCGGCCAGAAGCGAGGUCCAUGGAGGCUCCUGCCGCGGGGGGCUCCUCCGCUCAAGGGUCGGCCAGGAAGGACCCCAGGAGCUACCCUCCAACCCCCCGUCGGACCCCCUUCGCCCUUGUCCGGAGCCUACCUCUUCGUCGUGAUUGGUGAACCCGCUCCGAGGAAGACAAGCAGGUCAUCCUCCAGAAAAUUACCAAAGGUGAGUGGACGAGUAUGAACCUCGAUGCUGACGCUUGAUAGAAUGCCCUCGAUUCGGCCAGCGUAUGUAAUCACUUUUUUUUCAUGCAGUUCCACCGUUGCCCUUUCGAGCAACCCAGCUCUCAGUCAAACUUGCCGCUUCACCACUCAAGACUUGAGUUCCAUUCCAGGGAGAGCGGUGUUAUUGCUUGACCCAGA